UUCCCUUUUUGCUUUUCAGCUGGUACGGAACAAAAUAUUUAGCUCAAGUGGAUGGUUAACCAUGGGAAAAUUCCAUUCUGGAAUUCUAUCGAUGGUGAAUAUAAACAUUUAUGUGCUGAAUUUUGGUUCAUAUGAAUCCUGGACCCCAAGUAUUGUGUCCUGUGUCCGAGUGAAUACGAGACAGUGGCUGCAACUUGUUGAAUUCAAGUGGCUGGCUGAAGAAAAGUUCAACUUGUGGGAUACAAGUGGGGGAAUACAAUUAAGCAAAGAUUUGGAGCACACUGACCGAAGAAAAGUUCCAAGCUCAAGUGGAUUGAUUUGGGAUUGGCCACAACAACAAUUGUCAGCCUUCGAGACACAUCUUCCUGCUCACCUGCUGCCAGACGAUAUACUGAAGCCUGUGUGGAUAGAUUGUUGUGCUCAGUAUACUGACGCCUGUGUAGAUAGAUCGUUGUGCCCAGCUGAUAUUUCUUAUGUGCAGCAGUGCCGGAUCUGAUCAUCAGAGUUCGUGAGAUGCUGCACACAGCAUCACGACCGUCAUGGGUGAAUCCUAUGGUGUGCCCAAAUAAUUAUGGUGGACAAUCAAGCCAAAAGAGAAUAUUUGGUGAAGCCGACCACGAUUUUUUUUAGAGAAAAAGGACGCACCGCCCGCUUUCAUUCAUUAUAUUAACGAAACAUGAAGUGGUCGGAUGCUAAGCACAUGGACAUGUAUCAGAAGUAAUAAGGUUCAGGUUUCCAACAGAAAUUUUAAAACGCGCCACAUGAUGCUAGUAACACAAGCAGGCAGAUCACCUCAGGAUGUAUCUUUGCAUGCUUCCAGUUGAAUGAUCUACAUCACAUCUCCACCACUGACAGGAUUUUUUUCCCUUCUAUAAAGCCAGAACCAAUCCAAGUUCCCUCUGUGCCUCCAUGUGGCUUCUAACCAUGUGACACAUGUGGUAAGCAAUCCAAAUAAUUGGAAAAGAAACUCUCUGUCUUCUAUGUGAAUACACAUUGAACAUUUUCUAAAUACAUGUGUAAUAUUUUCCAGAUACACAUUAAGAUUGUUUUUAAAGACACCAUGAAUAUUUUUUUUGAAUACACGUUGUACAUUUUCCAUAUACAUGUGAACAUUUUUCUGAUACAUGUUGAACAUUUUUUCAAACUGUCAUGAACAUAAUUUUUUAAACAUGUGAACAUUUUCAAUUGUAACAAAUUUUAUUUUGAAUGAUGUGAUUUUUUUCAAAACCUACGCGAAUAAAUUAAAAUGCACUGCCAUUUUUUAAAGGCCUGAAAAAUUUUAUGCAAUGUACAAACAUUUUUUUAAAUCGUGAAAACAAAAAUUUGACAUUCCCCAAACAUUUUUUUAGUACAUGGUAUAUAUUUUUGUAAACUACAGUAUUAAAUAAUAUUUUUAUAUUUUUAUUCAUAUCUAUAUUUUAGUGCAUUUUUGGAACAUAAAAAUAAAUAAAUAAAAGGCCUCACACUGGAAAAAAGGAAAACAAAAAAAAUAGGAAAACGGAAAAGGCCUGUAAUGGACCGGCCCACUACUUGGCUCUCCUCCUUGAGGCAAGCGGUUCCUGCUUCUCCGUCCUCCGGCCUGCGGGCCACCGAUGCCAAGAUGCGCCGGCCUCGAGCUUCUUCACCGCCGGCGAGCGACUGCGGUGUCCGCUCGACCACGUCCGCUAUUCUACAUCGAGGUCGCCAACUCCCUCGACCCCCAGUGCUCAGGAUAGGAAGAGGAUUCGGAGGAGAGGGGGGACCGGGGCCAUAAAGAUCGGCUCGCGCGCUCCACCUGUUCGACAAAAUGCCCACAACGUGCCGCAGCGACGUCUUCUUCUCCUAUCUCCGCGGUCGCUCACCGGUCCAUGCUGCAUUCACGAACGUUGGCAAGUGACCAUCUAAAAGGUUGCCCCACAAGCCGAUAGGGACUUUGAAUCGAGGAGACAGAUCCUUAUUCCGAGCUUAACUUACCUGCUGCACCAAGUGGUCAUGUCCCGGCAAGGCAGCAGGAGGAUGAACUAGGAGUCUAGGACUGCCUGUAGUGCCACACACGUCAAUUCGUAUCUGAAACUAACAAAACCAGCUAUGGUAUAUGUUUGAUCUUGAUGUACAUGGUUGGCGUUUUGUUUCUGCGUGGACAAAUUCAUUGUAUCUUUCCCCAUAUACCACUGCAAGUCGUUGAACAAUGGUAAAUGGAGCUAUUCUCCAUACGAUUGUACA